rnacentral:rRNA from 1 species
CAAGCGUUAUCCGGAAUCAUUGGGCGUAAAGGUUGUGUAGGUGGUUGUAUUAGUCUUCUGUUAAAUUCUUCGGCUUAACCGGGGGCAUGCAGGGGAAACGGUACAACUAGAGGAUGCGAGGGGUCUGCGGAACUCAUAGUGUAGCGGUGAAAUGCGUUGAUAUUAUGGGGAACACCAAAAGCGAAGGCAGCAGACUGGAGCACUCCUGACACUGAAACAAGAAAGCGUGGGUCGCGAAUGGG